UCUAAUGUAUUUUUCCUCGGAGUAGUAGCCCUUACUUUUGGAGCCCAACGCCGUUCUCUCUCCUUCGGUUGCUUCCAUGGUCGGGAAAUCCCAAAGGCCCUCAAAGUCCGCACCGCUUGCGUCGGGUCGCUGUCGAAGAUGAUCGAUCAUUCACAUCCAUUUUAACUCCUCGCCUAACGAACGAUGGAAUGCCCGUGAGGUGACUGACAAAAGUCCACUAUGACCACAAACCAAGCAGAGCCCUUUUCCUGGAUACCAAGCCUCCCGGGCAUCUCGGGGUUCUCCUGUCGCUCGCUUUCAACCAGUCCACGUUUGGGACACCGACUCCCUCCUUUGCUUCCUUCGCAGGGAAAGCCCGGGCACCACCACUCAUCUUCCGUUGCUUGUGCGUAGUGUGCAGGGUUGAGCUGGAGGUAUCUGUAGCAACACAAGCCAAUAAAGACGAUGAGUAAAUGUAGGGCAGCUGCCCUCAAUCUGGUUUUCACGUGGAUUACUUCCGGCGGCGUUGUGGUUGCCAAUUUGGAAUUGAAUCGGUCGUAUUCUCCUUU